UACGGUGCUGAAGCAACAAAUGCCCUGCUUCCAGGAAAAGCCUCUAAGCAUCAGGUAACACGAAAUCGUACCCCAAACCGACACAGGUGGUCAGGUAGAGAAUACCAAGGCGCUUGAGAGAACUCGGGUGAAGGAACUAGGCAAAAUGGUGCCGUAACUUCGGGAGAAGGCACGCUGACACGUAGGUGAAGUGAUUUACUCAUGGAGCUGAAGUCAGUCGAAGAUACCAGCUGGCUGCAACUGUUUAUUAAAAACACAGCACUGUGCAAACACGAAAGUGGACGUAUACGGUGUGACGCCUGCCCGGUGCCGGAAGGUUAAUUGAUGGGGUCAGCGCAAGCGAAGCUCCUGAUCGAAGCCCCGGUAAACGGCGGCCGUAACUAUAACGGUCCUAAGGUAGCGAAAUUCCUUGUCGGGUAAGUUCCGACCUGCACGAAUGGCGUAAUGAUGGCCAGGCUGUCUCCACCCGAGACUCAGUGAAAUUGAACUCGCUGUGAAGAUGCAGUGUACCCGCGGCAAGACGGAAAGACCCCGUGAACCUUUACUAUAGCUUGACACUGAACAUUGAGCCUUGAUGUGUAGGAUAGGUGGGAGGCUUUGAAGUGUGGACGCCAGUCUGCAUGGAGCCGACCUUGAAAUACCACCCUUUAAUGUUUGAUGUUCUAACGUGGACCCGUAAUCCGGGUUGCGGACAGUGUCUGGUGGGUAGUUUGACUGGGGCGGUCUCCUCCUAAAGAGUAACGGAGGAGCACGAAGGUUGGCUAAUCCUGGUCGGACAUCAGGAGGUUAGUGCAAUGGCAUAAGCCAGCUUGACUGCGAGCGUGACGGCGCGAGCAGGUGCGAAAGCAGGUCAUAGUGAUCCGGUGGUUCUGAAUGGAAGGGCCAUCGCUCAACGGAUAAAAGGUACUCCGGGGAUAACAGGCUGAUACCGCCCAAGAGUUCAUAUCGACGGCGGUGUUUGGCACCUCGAUGUCGGCUCAUCACAUCCUGGGGCUGAAGUAGGUCCCAAGGGUAUGGCUGUUCGCCAUUUAAAGUGGUACGCGAGCUGGGUUUAGAACGUCGUGAGACAGUUCGGUCCCUAUCUGCCGUGGGCGCUGGAGAACUGAGGGGGGCUGCUCCUAGUACGAGAGGACCGGAGUGGACGCAUCACUGGUGUUCGGGUUGUCAUGCCAAUGGCACUGCCCGGUAGCUAAAUGCGGAAGAGAUAAGUGCUGAAAGCAUCUAAGCACGAAACUUGCCCCGA
rnacentral:rRNA from 2 species